rnacentral:rRNA from 1 species
AGAGUUUGAUCCUGGCUCAGGACGAACGCUGGCGGCACGCUUAACACAUGCAAGUCGAACGAGAGAAGAGAAGCUUGCUUUUCUGAUCUAGUGGCGGACGGGUGAGUAACACGUGAGCAAUCUGCCUUUCAGAGGGGGAUACCGAUUGGAAACGAUCGUUAAUACCGCAUAAUAUAAUUGAACCGCAUGAUUUGAUUAUCAAAGAUUUAUCGCUGAAAGAUGAGCUCGCGUCUGAUUAGCUAGUUGGUAAGGUAACGGCUUACCAAGGCGACGAUCAGUAGCCGGACUGAGAGGUUGAUCGGCCACAUUGGGACUGAGACACGGCCCAGACUCCUACGGGAGGCAGCAGUGGGGAAUAUUGCACAAUGGAGGAAACUCUGAUGCAGCGAUGCCGCGUGAGGGAAGAAGGUUUUAGGAUUGUAAACCUCUGUCUUCAGGGACGAAAAAUGACGGUACCUGAGGAGGAAGCUCCGGCUAACUACGUGCCAGCAGCCGCGGUAAUACGUAGGGAGCGAGCGUUGUCCGGAAUUACUGGGUGUAAAGGGAGCGUAGGCGGGAUCGCAAGUCAGAUGUGAAAACUAUGGGCUUAACCCAUAAACUGCAUUUGAAACUGUGGUUCUUGAGUGAAGUAGAGGUAAGCGGAAUUCCUAGUGUAGCGGUGAAAUGCGUAGAUAUUAGGAGGAACAUCAGUGGCGAAGGCGGCUUACUGGGCUUUAACUGACGCUGAGGCUCGAAAGCGUGGGGAGCAAACAGGAUUAGAUACCCUGGUAGUCCACGCCGUAAACGAUGAUUACUAGGUGUGGGGGGACUGACCCCUUCCGUGCCGCAGCAAACGCAAUAAGUAAUCCACCUGGGGAGUACGACCGCAAGGUUGAAACUCAAAGGAAUUGACGGGGGCCCGCACAAGCAGUGGAGUAUGUGGAUUAAUUCGAAGCAACGCGAAGAACCUUACCAGGUCUUGACAUCGUAUGCAUAGCUCAGAGAUGAGUGAAAUCUCUUCGGAGACAUAUAGACAGGUGGUGCAUGGUUGUCGUCAGCUCGUGUCGUGAGAUGUUGGGUUAAGUCCCGCAACGAGCGCAACCCUUACUGUUAGUUGCUACGCAAGAGCACUCUAGCAGGACUGCCGUUGACAAAACGGAGGAAGGUGGGGAUGACGUCAAAUCAUCAUGCCCCUUAUGACCUGGGCCUCACACGUACUACAAUGGCUGUCAACAGAGGGAAGCAAAGCCGCGAGGUGGAGCAAACCCCUAAAAGCAGUCUUAGUUCGGAUUGUAGGCUGCAACCCGCCUACAUGAAGUCGGAAUUGCUAGUAAUCGCAGAUCAGCAUGCUGCGGUGAAUACGUUCCCGGGCCUUGUACACACCGCCCGUCACGCCAUGGGAGUCGGUAACACCCGAAGCCUGUAGUCUAACCGCAAGGAGGACGCAGUCGAAGGUGGGAUUGAUGACUGGGGUGAAGUCGUAACAAGGUAGCCGUAUCGGAAGGUGCGGCUG